UAGCCGUAAACGAUACUCGCUAGGUGUCGGCCACGGUGCGACCGUUGUCGGUGCCGUAGGGAAGCCGUGAAGCGAGCCACCUGGGAAGUACGGCCGCAAGGCUGAAACUUAAAGGAAUUGGCGGGGGAGCACAACAACGGGUGGAGCUUGCGGUUUAAUCGGACUCAACGCCGGGAAUCUCACCGGAUAAGACAGCUGAAUGAUAGUCGGGAUGAAGACUCUACUUGACUAGCUGAGAGGAGGUGCAUGGCGUAGUCGUGU
rnacentral:rRNA from 1 species